GAGCUUAAGAAGCUGAUAUUUAUAUUGCAAUUUAUAAUACUGUCUUUAACUUUGUAUCAGUAAGCAGUCUUAACCAGCUGGAUGAUUGCAUCAAACCUAAAUAAUUAACCAUAUCAGAAAACAUGCAAUUAAUAAUGAACAGAUUGUUAGAUACUUCCUGCUAGCAGUACAAUCAUUUAAAAAAGAAAACAUUCUAAAUGUUUUUUUCAUUUAAAAUGUAUUUUACCUGCCAAAAAAUACAAAUGUGGUUUUCUUAACCUUGAACACUGAUCCAUGCAUGUGCAGUAGGGAAGCAUUACUCUUAUGGCCAGCUAAUUAGUUCUUGAGGUAAGUGGAAUUAUUCUCCAACUACCUGACUCCUUCUGGUAUCUCGUAUGUUUUUGGUGUUCUGCAUUUAUAAAAUAUUCUGCAAAGUUUUGAGAAGAAAAGUUUUGAAAAGUUCUGAGGAGAGAGGGUAAAAAAGUACCCCUGCUUGGGGAUUUGGGGGAGGAUGGUAAAAGAGAAGCCAGGGAAUAGGAGAAGAAUUAGGAGUUUAUGGUAUCGCAGGUAAGGGACAAAGUUUCAAGAAGGUGGUGAUUAAUGACUUUUUACAAAUUCUUGCCUUUUUUUUUUUUUUUUUUGCCAGUAUGUUGGGUAGCAUGAAAAGGUUAUUAGAUUGGAGGUCCUGGUUAACUUUCAGGAAUGUGGCUCAGUGGAGUGGUGGGGCAGAAGCCAGUUUCUAAGAGAUCACAGAAUGGAUAGGGAGAACAGAAGUGGAAGCAGCACCAGUAGGAGAUUCUCUUUGAGGUAUUUGGGAGUGAGGAGGGGAAGAGAGAAUUUAGAGAAGAUGUUUGAGGGUGUCAGGUUGUAGAAGGUUUUAAUAGGAUGAAGGGGCUUAAUCUGACUUCAGAAUGAGACGGAGGAUCCAGGGAGAGCAUUAAAGAUGUAAGGAGUGGGGCCAGUGUUGAUAAACAAUGAAACAAGGCUCUUGUGAAGAUAGAAGGGGAUGUGAUUGAAGCUAUAAAAGCAGCCAUUAGCCAUGGGGAAAAUGGACUGAAAGUAUAUUCUGUUUAAAAGUUGACCAUCAAUUGGGACGCCUGGGUGGCUCAGUUGGUUAAGCAGCUGCC